rnacentral:rRNA from 1 species
AGUGAACGCUGGCGGUAGGCCUAACACAUGCAAGUCGAACGGCAGCACAGUAAGAGCUUGCUCUUACGGGUGGCGAGUGGCGGACGGGUGAGGAAUACAUCGGAAUCUACUUUUUCGUGGGGGAUAACGUAGGGAAACUUACGCUAAUACCGCAUACGCCCUACGGGUGAAAGCAGGGGAUCUUCGGACCUUGCGCGAUUGAAUGAGCCGAUGUCGGAUUAGCUAGUUGGCGGGGUAACGGCCCACCAAGGCGACGAUCCGUAGCUGGUCUGAGAGGAUGAUCAGCCACACUGGAACUGAGACACGGUCCAGACUCCUACGGGAGGCAGCAGUGGGGAAUAUUAGACAAUGGGCGCAAGCCUGAUCCAGCCAUACCGCGUGGGUGAAGAAGACCUUCGGGUUGUAAAGCCCUUUUGUUGGGAAAGAAAAGCAGCAGGUUAAUACCCCGCUGUUCUGACGGUACCCAAAGAAUAAGCACCGGCUAACUUCGUG